CAUUGUAUUUGUGACUAAUAAUUAUGAUCACUACUUACGUGAUUUGUAUCUAUCUAUCUAUCUAAAUUCUUGAGCUCCUUGUGAGACGAGGGAGUUAAUUAUUUUACUUGAGUGAUACAUUCAACACUUCUCUUGGAGUAAUUACAUUGAAAAUGAGCAAUACUUUCCGCACUUCUUCAUGAAUUACACCUACUAAUUCUUCCUUUUUUUUUUUUUUUAAUGACAGAGGGGCUAGCUGCUUUAUUGGUGGAAGCUGCAGAGUGGGUGAUUGCCAUUUAAGAGUUGAGUUCUGUAGCAUUUCCAGCAAUUUGUUUAAUUUGCUUGGUAGAAAAUAUGACUGGUCCACUGGAAUUUAUAGUGCGCCACCAGUGUUCUAUCACUGAUUUCUGAAUUCAUAUGGGGGUGAUCAUACUCUGUUAAAAUUAGCAGUUAAGAUUGAGCCAGAAUAUGGAUUGAAUGAGACUGCAUGUGUUCUGGUGGUAGCUUGCUUGCAGCUACUUUUGAGGUAACUUCCAAAUUUAAUGAAUUAUUCCAAUAUAUUAAAGCUCUUCUUCCAUUCGGAUGGUAAGUAUAGAUUAGCUUCUACGGGGAAUACUUCAUUUUUUAUUGUAUUGUUUUCAUACGCAAACAUUUAGGGAGGAGUACAUGAAAUCAAACACAGUUGUAACUCUGUUGGAAGGUUAGGUGUGUGCAGUGAAGUCGCAGAAACUACUUGCUUUCCAUCCGUGGGAUUAUUUGAGGCUCGAAAGAAAAGAGUAAGAGUGUGGCAGAAACUAAACUUUUAGAUGUUGCAAAGCUUUUAUCU